rnacentral:lncRNA from 1 species
AUUACUCUAUGCUCCAUUUGUUAUGAACCAAAUAUGUUAUGAAUGAAAUGACAUUUGCGAUUCUGUAUCUAAUGAGAUGAUAUCCUUGAAUCUCUUGGAUUCUGUCUUGCAUUGUGAUAUCUUGUUUGUUUGAAACUGUCCCUUCUCGUGCUAUAUAUGCUUUGUUACUUGCUGAGCUGUUUUUAGCUCACUCCGUUGUUAUAUAAAUCUUUCAGGUCAGCUUGUCACUCUUUGAGAUGUUUGAAUUGGGUUGAGGCAGUGGAGAGCUAUUCUGAAUUAUGGGC